CCUACGGGAGGCAGCAGUGGGGAAUAUUGCACAAUGGGCGAAAGCCUGAUGCAGCGACGCCGCGUGAGGGAUGACGGCCUUCGGAUUGUAAACCUCUUUCAGCAGGGAAGAAGCGAGAGUGACGGUACCUGCAGAAGAAGCGCCGGCUAACUAAGUGCCAGCAGCCGCGGUAAUACGUAGGGCGCAAGCGUUGUCCGGAAUUAUUGGGCGUAAAGAGCUCGGAGGCGGUGUGUCGCGUCUGCUGUGAAAUCUUCAGGCUCAACCUGGGGCUUGCAGUGGGUACGGGCACACUAGAGUGCGGUAGGGGUGACUGGAAUUCCUGGUGUAGCGGUGGAAUGCGCAGAUAUCAGGAGGAACACCGAUGGCGAAGGCAGGUCACUGGGCCGCAACUGACGCUGAGGAGCGAAAGCAUGGGGAGCGAACAGGAUUAGAUACCCGUGUAGUC
rnacentral:rRNA from 1 species